AGGAAUCAAGGCUCAGGGCAGUUUCCCGACAGCCCUCAGGCCCAGGGCCAAGAUGGGCCUACUCUGUUACAUCUGCAGCCACACCUGCUCUUUACCCAGGACUCUGAAGGUAAUCGGGUUAUCAGGCACUAGUUUUAGACGUUUAUGUGAGUGUAUCUUGAAGUGGCAGAGCUGGAGGAAAGUGGGGUGGGGCUGGGUAAAGAUUUGUUUGGUGAAAGGCCAGGUGGGAUGAAGCAGUUGUCACUAUGGAACAUUUUCUGUAUAUAAAUAAAGCAGGCAGUGUGUGGUAGGCA
rnacentral:lncRNA from 1 species